GAGAGAGGCCUUGAGGCAAUAGGAACUGCUAAUUCCUACCACCCGCGGCUAAAAUCCGCGGCUCACUCG
ensembl:Mt_tRNA